UACGUAGGGCGCAAGCGUUGUCCGGAAUUAUUGGGCGUAAAGAGCUCGUAGGCGGUCUGUUACGUCCGCUGUGAAAACCCAGGGCUUAACCCUGAGCUUGCAGUGGGUACGGGCAGACUAGAGUGCGGUAGGGGAGACUGGAAUUCCUGGUGUAGCGGUGAAAUGCGCAGAUAUCAGGAGGAACACCGGUGGCGAAGGCGGGUCUCUGGGCCGUAACUGACGCUGAGGAGCGAAAGCAUGGGGAGCGAGCAGG
rnacentral:rRNA from 1 species